rnacentral:tRNA from 1 species
UAGAAAAAUGGGACUCGAACCCACACCAAAGAGAUCAAAACUCUCCGUACAGCCAAUUAUACUUCCUUCU